rnacentral:lncRNA from 1 species
UGAUUUGCGACUUCCUCCACAUGAGCAAAUGCAGAGACUGUGAUUUUUGUUCCAUCAUCUUAAAAAAAAAAAGAGCACAUCAGUAACAUCUGCGGAAGUGCCUGGAUGCUAUGUAUAUAUGGACUGAGUUAUCAGUCAAAACAUAUUUAAAAACUCAAAUAUUAGGAAAAGAUCUAAUAUCAAAUAAUUAAAAGGGGUGAGGCUUUGAACUUAGGUCGUCUAGCCCACCAUCUUGUGGAGCUAGCCGGAAAACCCUUGGAAAUUUCUCAGUCAAAACAUAUUUCACUCACAUGUCUAUUGUUUAGCGUCACAUAGAUCUAGAUUGGUAGUGCUCCACUUUGUUUUAUUUUUUUCGAGAAAGCUAGGGUAGAGGAGCACCUUUUUUAGUGGUAUAACACGUCG